rnacentral:rRNA from 1 species
CAGUAGCCGCGGUAAUACGGAGGGGGCUAGCGUUGUUCGGAAUUACUGGGCGUAAAGCGCACGUAGGCGGCUUGGUAAGUUAGAGGUGAAAGCCCGGAGCUCAACUCCGGAAUUGCCUUUAAGACUGCCGAGCUAGCAGGUGAGAGAGGUAAGUGGAAUUCCGAGUGUAGAGGUGAAAUUCGUAGAUAUUCGGAAGAACACCAGUGGCGAAGGCGGCUUACUGGCUCAUACUGGACGCUGAGGUGCGAAAGCGUGGGGAGCAAACAGGAUUAGAUACCUGAGUAGUCCCUGUCUCUUAUAC